AUACGGAGGGUGCGAGCGUUAAUCGGAAUUACUGGGCGUAAAGCGUACGUAGGCGGUUGGUUAAGUUAGAUGUGAAAGCCCCGGGCUUAACCUGGGAACUGCAUUUAAAACUGGCGAACUAGAGUUGAGUAGAGGGGAGUGGAAUUUCAGGUGUAGCGGUGAAAUGCGUAGAGAUCAGAAGGAACACCAGUGGCGAAGGCGACUCCCUGGACUCGAACUGACGCUGAGGUACGAAAGCGUGGGUAGCAAACGGGAUUAGAAACCCUAGUAGUCC
rnacentral:rRNA from 1 species